AUCAGAGAAGUGACACAGCUCCWGUUUAGCACAACAGUGACCCUGUGAAAUGUGGCCUUGAAAAUCUUACAGUGCUGGAAAGCCAGGAUCUCUGUUUGAGCAUUCCCACUGCAUGCAGCCUUUGGCGUGGUUGGCGAGCUCCUAAUUUUGAUGGAACUUUCCUGAGGCUUUGAAAAAUACUCCCACAGUGGUUGCAUUAUUAACUCAGUGCAAAUACACUUGGACAUUAGACAAUGUUCUCUGUUGGUUCAGAUCUGCUCACUUCAGUGGAGGAAGGCUGUGAACCAAGUGCAGAACUGGGUGACAAUGUGGAAAGAUCCGCCACAGCUUUCUGCUCUUCCGACUGAAGCUUUCUGCUCUGAUUCUGCUCCUGAAUCUGCCUGUUUUGUGCUGCAGCAGUGGAAAACUGACUGACUGAGAGUUAUUCCGUGUGAGACAUCCCUGUAACAGCUGAUGUAGCUUCGUAGGAGCAUUCUGAAGAAGAUGUUGAAGUCCUUUGAAAUUGGAGUGGUGUAGUUGGACCAUGGAAUCUCAUCAGUAAAACUGGGUAGAUCUGUUCUGCUUUGUUCCCAGUUGAAGCUGGGAUUGAGCAAAUCUGCAGGCUCCUUCUGUUACAAAGAUCACAGUCAUUUCUGUGCACCUCAUGCUGCAUCGUAUACACUCAGAACCAGAAUUUAUCUCUGGCAAGAGYUCUGCUUCCUGAAUUAUGUUUGGCAUGCCUGUUCUCAGUUGCGAAGUAUUUAUCCAUUUCCUGGUGUCAGCUACUGAAUCCAACGGGAUUAUGGUCCCUUUUAAAUAAAAUCCGACCUUGUCAUCUGCUACUGAAUUCAAAAAUUAUUAUCACUUGUUUCAUGGACUUCUUAUCAACGGCUUACUUCGGCUUAUCAAUCUUGAAAUUGUUUCAUUACACCUCAUCAGCACCUGGUUUUUCUAAUUCAUGAUGUGGCUAAGCUGAAAUCCAGGUGGCUCUGCUGUCUAGUUUGAUUUGGAUCUAUUGCUGACUUAAUAACAUGAGCAAAAAUGGCAGCUGAGCGUCUGUCUGCCUUUUUCUGUAAUAAAUGUACAUAAAGAAUCUCUGCAUCUGCUAACUGACACUGCAGAUUGCUUUCCCUUCGGUGGAGGUCUUUCCAAAUGGUCUCAGAAGCAGCAAGAACAGUAGCUUGUGGUUGUUUUUCCUGGCGUAUCAGCAGUGUAUGGAGAUACACAGUUUCUGCUUCCUCUGUUUCUGUCACUGCAGUUUAUAGGUUGGCCAUUAAUAUUUCUGUCAUAUUGCAGCCUGGAGCAUAUGUGUUAGAUGGCAUCUACAAUACAUGGCACCUGCAUGCUCCAUACUGUUUCUUAGUUCUGUGUCAAUACAUUAUCAUUAUAUUCCUUUCACUGAUCACUUCAGCUGCUCUUUCAGUGAGUGCCAUGUUUCUAACUCUAGGUCUAUUGCUCUAAAAAUGUAAAAUUAAUUAGCUUUCAUUCUUUCUGAGAUUAAUUGUGGGUGCCAAGAAUGAGAGCUCUGCAUGAUAAAUUUUUUUUCUUCUCAGUAUUCAAUAUAAAUACUCAUCCAGGUAAAAGCAAAACAAAACACUUCUGUAUCUACUGUUCUUUCUGGGCUCCUUGAAUAUUUUGGUGAUCUGUUCCAGUGUUUGGGGGUGUUAUUCCUACAGGAUUGUCUUUAUCAUCUUCCCCCGCUAUAGCCCCUCAAUGUUAUACCCAUGAUUUUUCUCUCCUUCCAUUAUAAAUGCUGCAGGGAACUUAAUUCUGGUGUUCAGUUUUACUGCCUGUAURCAGAUUUUGUCUGGAAAUCCACCAUGCCUGGUGGCUGGCAUCACUCCAUGUUGAUGAUUUCCUUUGUUUCUCACCCUUGUUUUGUCUCUUUGUAAAUUGUGUUUUCUAUAUUAUUGUGGAACUCACAAGAUUGACCUCUGCUGUCAUCUUUCAUAUGCCACACGCUGAGUAGUAACAUAAGAAAACAACACAUUUCUUAAGGCUUUAAAUUGAAAGAGCUUCAACAGAACUGAAGCCUUGUGGCAAGCCAGUGUUCCCUGAUGGGAAAGACUACAUUUAAGGCCUUUGGUGCUAUUAAUUUUUAAAGGCUGGAAGGAAUGAAUAAAGUGUGAGUGAGGCCUGAUGGCUGACAGGGAUGGAGAGRCCUGAGCUAACCGUGCUGCACCUUUGCCCUUCUCACCACCGGUGCCCCUGACUUCUCCCUGGCUUCAUUUUGGAGCAGUCUGAACAUGAAGUCAGGGAAGCAUUUCCAGUGGGAAUAGACUUGCCAAAAUAUGCCUUUAGAGCCUAAUGCUGUGCUGGCAGUUGUGUGGUGCUCAGCAGGUGAAGGGGAGAUGCAGUCACAAAAAUGUUUGCACUGGGAGAAGUGAGCUAUUUURAUGGUUUUUCACUCUUUUUGCCCGUUCUGAUUAGCGGAUAUCUGAGGGUAAUAUUUUUACAAAUUGAUGAUGAAACGUAAUCAUUGUUGCAAUUCUGUCUAUAAUUAUGUACUUCCACUUUCCUGAAAGAAGAAAUGAACAUGAGAGGCUCAUUGCUUUAACAGUCUCSUCAGAUAACUGUCUACCCUAAGCCCCUCUUUCUUGCUUCAUUUCUUUAUCAAAAUCAUCCUGCAUGCUCUCUAGCUGUCUUGGGGCUUUCCUGCUGUCUGCUCUAUCUGUGCCUGUAUUUUUGCCCUUUCUCAUCCUUGGUGAACUCAACUGAACAACAUUCAUUGCCCUGAAUUUGAACUUAGUCCCUGAGGAAAAUUGCGGUUGUUGGUUCUUUCACUAGGCCUCUGUUAUGGGUGCUGACCUCCAGUGUUUCUUCUCUUCCAUGGAAGUGUUGUAACCAGCUUUUUACAUUUAGCCUACUACGUUAUAUUCAAUAAAAUGUGACUCCUAAAUUCAACUCAAAUAUCGCAUAGCAUUGCUAUUCCUAUUUAUAAAUGGCACUGKUUUUUUUGUAUGCUGUCAAACUGCAAUUGUCCUUUCCCCCACAUCAUGUUUUUCAUGUUUUGCACAGACUCCAUGCUUCAGAAUAGCAAAUAAUUGACUUUUAGGGUCACUCAGGGAAGAUAUUUUGUUUUUCCAGGUUUCUGGGUGGGGCACUUUAGCCAAUCACAUUUAUUACUUUAAGACCUCUCAGACUUUUGAACUUGACCCUAUUUCCUGCCAAUAACACCUGGCAAGAGAGCUCGRUAAGUUAAAUUGCAGAUAUAUUAAAGAUUUAUUUUAGGUAAAGCCUGCUUGUAAGAUGUCUAUGUGCCAAGUUAUGUCUGGAGUAAACUUUUAUAGCAAACACUAAAUCAGAGGCAAGCAGUACAGAAAAAAGUGUAAAGGGGAUUAAAAUAAAAAGGCUGACAGACCCGUAACUAUAAUAAAAAUGGUUGUGGAGAAUUCUAUGGCAUUAACUUAGAUAAUUGCCAGAGUCAUAAAAUCCAGAUUUUUCUGUCUUYAAGACUCCUGGGAGCUGCUGGGGAAGAAGAAAAUUAAAUGUAAUGGUUCAUAUAUAAUUCAGAAUUUUGUUGCUUUUUAUCAUUCUCAAAAGAGUAAAAGUGACCUACUUUCUAUAUGUUGUAGUUUAGUGGGAAAUUCCCCCGACUCCCAGAGUCAGCAUGCUUGUUCUCUUCUUAAGCAGGUGCUAACUCCCAUCUCUGCUUUACUAC